rnacentral:ncRNA from 1 species
UACCAGCAUCAAGAACGUCCUGCCGUAAAAUGCAGGGCUGCCAACCGAGGAGGAGAACCCACGGUGGCUUGGUGCGGGAGAGCGAGUCUCUCCCGUGCCAAUGCGCUGGUCGAUCGGAUCGACCGGAAAGCAAAUCUCCCUUGG